UCCGAGUUGACCCCGGCAGUCUCCUAUGAGUCCCCGGCAUUAUCCGCUGGCAACAUAGAACGAGGGUUGCGCUCGUUGCGGGACUUAACCCAACAUCUCACGACACGAGCUGACGACAGCCAUGCACCACCUGCACACCAGCCACAAGGGAACGCCUAUCUCUAGACGCGUCUAGUGCAUGUCAAACCCAGGUAAGGUGGGGAUGACGUACCACGCAAUAACA
rnacentral:misc_RNA from 1 species